rnacentral:rRNA from 1 species
UACGAAGGGGGCUAGCGUUGCUCGGAAUCACUGGGCGUAAAGGGUGCGUAGGCGGGUUUUUAAGUCAGGGGUGAAAUCCUGGAGCUCAACUCCAGAACUGCCUUUGAUACUGAAGAUCUUGAGUUCGGGAGAGGUGAGUGGAACUGCGAGUGUAGAGGUGAAAUUCGUAGAUAUUCGCAAGAACACCAGUGGCGAAGGCGGCUCACUGGCCCGAUACUGACGCUGAGGCACGAAAGCGUGGGGGAGCAAACAGG